GAUGAACGCUGGCGGCGUGCCUAAUACAUGCAAGUCGAGCGAACAGACGAGGAGCUUGCUCCUCUGACGUUAGCGGCGGACGGGUGAGUAACACGUGGAUAACCUACCUAUAAGACUGGGAUAACUUCGGGAAACCGGAGCUAAUACCGGAUAACAUGUUGAACCGCAUGGUUCAACAGUGAAAGACGGUCUUGCUGACGCUUAUAGAUGGAUCCGCGCCGCAUUAGCUAGUUGGUAAGGUAACGGCUUACCAAGGCAACGAUGCGUAGCCGACCUGAGAGGGUGAUCGGCCACACUGGAACUGAGACACGGUCCAGACUCCUACGGGAGGCAGCAGUAGGGAAUCUUCCGCAAUGGGCGAAAGCCUGACGGAGCAACGCCGCGUGAGUGAAGAAGGUCUUCGGAUCGUAAAACUCUGUUAUUAGGGAAGAACAAAUGUGUAAGUAACUAUGCACGUCUUGACGGUACCUAAUCAGAAAGCCACGGCUAACUACGUG
rnacentral:rRNA from 1 species